rnacentral:lncRNA from 1 species
AAGGCAGCAGCCACGGCUCAGCCUGGCAUUCCUGCCUACCUCACAGAGCAGGGAAACGCCAGCGCAGGAGUCCCUGCGGAUAGAAAAGGAAGGAAUCUGCUGUGCACAGAGUGGGCAAUCAAUUCUGGAAUCAUUAGGAAGCUCUUUAGUCUGAUGAAGUCACAUGGAAGAAAUCUUUGAAGAACUCAAGUGGAUGCAUGAAAUGGUGCUGUUUCUUCUUGUUCCUCCAGAGAGCCUGUGUCCAGAAAGAUGAAAUGCCAAAGGCCCAGACCUUCAGUAACUGUGGAGUGAAACAAACCCGCCUCAGUGAAGCAGGGGGUUGAGAGCUGUCCUGGAUGGCAUUCAUUUAAAUGUCCACACUGUUUGUACCAUGGGAUUGUGGAGCCUGUCCCACUAAUACGGCGGGAUAUAUUCCCCCACCUGCCCCCUUGGCUUUGUUUUUAGCCCUGUGACGUGCUUUGGCCAAGGGGGUAUCAGUGGGAGUAACUUAACCAAAGGCUGGAAAAGCAUGCGUGCAACAUCUCUGCCUUCACCAAGAGAAGAACACAAUCUGGCUCCUUUGCUGGUUCAGGACACAGAUCCAGCUGAGAUGCGCCUACCUCCCAGCUUAUCUGCAAACUCAUGAGCUACGCAAGAUCCUUAGCUUUUGUGGUUUGUAGGCAGAGCUGAUCGAUUCAGAAUUUGGUACCAGAAAAGGGGUACUGCCGUUAUAAAACGUAAAUCAUCUGGCAUUGCCUUUGCAAGAAGCAGCAGGCCCUGAGGAGACAGUUAGAAGAGGUUGGAAAAUGUCAAGGGAACUGUUUUAGGGGGAUGAGAAAUUGGAGACAUGUUUUGUAGUGAUGAAAAAUUUGGCAAAACUCUCACAUGAGGUUACUUAGAAGAUUGAAAAUGUACCUAAUGAAUUUUUGGAAUUGCACAAGAAGAACUCCAGGGAAAACAUAAC